AAGUCUCAUCAUCUUCAAGAAGCCGUUGUUAAUAGUGACGUACCAUCAGUUAACAUUAGGGGAACCAUUGACCCUGCUCCUAUACAAGUAUCAGAUCAGACUCCAAUGAAAACUGUAGUUGAGUUAUUUGGGAAGAUGGGAUUGAGACAAGCUUUUGUGUCACGCAAUGGUCGUCUGUUGGGCA